rnacentral:rRNA from 1 species
AUACGGAGGGGGUUAGCGUUGUUCGGAAUUACUGGGCGUAAAGCGCACGUAGGCGGACUGGAAAGUUGGGGGUGAAAUCCCGGGGCUCAACCCCGGAACUGCCUCCAAAACUUCCAAUCUAGAGAUCGAGAGAGGUGAGUGGAAUUCCAAGUGUAGAGGUGAAAUUCGUAGAUAUUUGGAGGAACACCAGUGGCGAAGGCGGCUCACUGGCUCGAUACUGACGCUGAGGUGCGAAAGCGUGGGGAGCAAACAGGAUUAGAAACCCCAGUGUCC